CCUUGGCGAUAUCAUAAAAAGCUAUAACUCUACUGAUACUAUACAACUUUCAGGCUGAACAUGAAGGGGCUACUUGUACUGGCGAUUGUUUUGGUUUCGGCGUCCACGCUGAUUGAAGGUAGAGCGGCCGACCUUUCAAGCCGAGAUGCAGACUGCCAGCCCCCGAUGUGCCCCAUGUAUCUCCCAGCCUGUGUGGUAUACACCAAGGAUGCCAACGGCUGUAACACAUGUUACUGUGAUAUUCCCUUUUGAAACGGAAUAAAAUUCUCUUAAAUCUGCCAGUA
rnacentral:lncRNA from 1 species